AGCGACGCCAUGCGGCCCCAGUCGUCUUUCAGACCCGUUCUUGUCUCGGUCUGCCUGUGUUAGCCCGUGCCGAAGAAACUACGCGAGACGGAUACAGAUCCACAACGGACCAAAAACAGGAAAACAGUUAAACAGAGCAAACGUCAGUUGUUGAUAACCUUCUACAAAUUCCUAACUGGGCAAGAAGCAAUUUCAAACUUGUAUUAUCGAAGGUUCUUUGCGGUUUUCCUUGAGGUGAGAUAUAAUUUCCAUCAUCGGCACUAAAUGAUUUUUUGUAACUUUUAUUUUCCUGUGAGUAAGUCCUCAUUUCUAAGUUAUUAUAUAGGGUUAAUAUGUAUAUUAUAUUAUAUAUAGUAUUAUUGUCUAAAGGGUUCAUAUGGUGUCAGUGGUGUAACAACGUUGUAUUUAGACCUUAUAUUAUUAAGUAAUGAGUUAGUUUGAAUGUAUUUUUCCCUAUCUA